rnacentral:rRNA from 1 species
GACGAACGCUGGCGGCGUGCUUAACACAUGCAAGUCGAACGAAGUGGCGAACGGGUGAGUAACGCGUAAUCAACCUGCCCUUCAGAGGGGGACAACAGUUGGAAACGACUGCUAAUACCGCAUACUUAAGGGGGGGAUUGUGUGUGAAUAGGUAGUGGGAGGGGUAAUGGCCCACCAAGGCGAGUGUCAGUAGCCGGUCUGAGAGGAUGAACGGCCACAUUGGGACUGAGACAAGGCCCAGACUCCUACGGGAGGCAGCAGUGGGGAAUCUUCCGCAAUGGACGAAAGUCUGACUGAGCAACGCCGCGUGAGUGAUGACGGCCUUCGGGUUGUAAAGCUCUGUUAAUCGGGACGCGGUACCGGAAUAGAAAGCCACGGCUAACUACGUGCCAGCCGCCGCGGUAAUAC